rnacentral:rRNA from 1 species
CUCCUACGGGGGGCAGCAGUUGGGAAUAUUGGACAAUGGAGGAAACUCUGAUCCAGUGACGCCGCGUGAAGGAAGAAGGUCUUCGGAUUGUAAACUUAUUUUAUCAGGGAAGAAAAAAAUGACUGUACCUGAGUAAGAAGCCCCGGCUAACUACGUGCCAGCAGCCGCGGUAAUACGUAGGGGGCAAGCGUUAUCCGGAUUUACUGGGUGUAAAGGGAGCGUAGACGGCGAAGAAAGUCUGAAGUGAAAGCCCGCGGCUCAACCGCGGAAUGGCUUUGGAAACUUUUUUGCUGGAGUACCGGAGG